rnacentral:rRNA from 1 species
GCGAUGCAGCUCCGGCCGCCAUGGCGGCCGCGGGAAUUCGAUUUACGGCUACCUUGUUUACGACUUCACCCCAAUCAUCUAUCCCACCUUAGGCGGCUGGCUCCAAAAGGUUACCUCACCGACUUCGGGUGUUACAAACUCUCGUGGUGUGACGGGCGGUGUGUACAAGGCCCGGGAACGUAUUCACCGCGGCGUGCUGAUCCGCGAUUACUAGCGAUUCCGACUUCAUGUAGGCGAGUUGCAGCCUACAAUCCGAACUGAGAUUGGCUUUAAGAGAUUAGCUUGCCGUCACCGACUCGCAACUCGUUGUACCAACCAUUGUAGCACGUGUGUAGCCCAGGUCAUAAGGGGCAUGAUGAUUUGACGUCAUCCCCACCUUCCUCCGGUUUAUUACCGGCAGUCUCGCUAGAGUGCCCAACUGAAUGAUGGCAACUAACAAUAGGGGUUGCGCUCGUUGCGGGACUUAACCCAACAUCUCACGACACGAGCUGACGACAACCAUGCACCACCUGUCACCGAUGUACCGAAGUAACUUUCUAUCUCUAGAAAUAGCAUCGGAAUGUCAAGACCUGGUAAGGUUCUUCGCGUUGCUUCGAAUUAAACCACAUGCUCCACCGCUUGUGCGGGCCCCCGUCAAUUCCUUUGAGUUUCAACCUUGCGGUCGUACUCCCCAGGCGGAGUGCUUAAUGCGUUAGCUGCGGCACUGAAUCCCGGAAAGGAUCCAACACCUAGCACUCAUCGUUUACGGCGUGGACUACCAGGGUAUCUAAUCCUGUUCGCUCCCCACGCUUUCGAGCCUCAGCGUCAGUUACAGACCAGAGAGCCGCUUUCGCCACCGGUGUUCCUCCAUAUAUCUACGCAUUUCACCGCUACACAUGGAAUUCCACUCUCCCCUUCUGCACUCAAGUUUGACAGUUUCCAAAGCGAACUAUGGUUGAGCCACAGCCUUUAACUUCAGACUUAUCAAACCGCCUGCGCUCGCUUUACGCCCAAUAAAUCCGGACAACGCUCGGGACCUACGUAUUACCGCGGCUGCUGGCACGUAGUUAGCCGUCCCUUUCUGGUAAGCUACCGUCACAGUGUGAACUUUCCACUCUCACACUCGUUCUUGGACUUACAACAGAGCUUUACGAUCCGAAAACCUUCUUCACUCACGCGGCGUUGCUCGGUCAGGGUUGCCCCCAUUGCCGAAGAUUCCCUACUGCUGCCUCCCGUAGGAGUCUGGGCCGUGUCUCAGUCCCAGUGUGGCCGAUCACCCUCUCAGGUCGGCUAUGUAUCGUCGCCUAGGUGAGCCGUUACCUCACCUACUAGCUAAUACAACGCAGGUCCAUCUUGUAGUGGAGCAAUUGCCCCUUUCAAAUAAAUGACAUGUGUCAUCCAUUGUUAUGCGGUAUUAGCUAUCGUUUCCAAUAGUUAUCCCCCGCUACAAGGCAGGUUACCUACGCGUUACUCACCCGUUCGCAACUCAUCCAAGAAGAGCAAGCUCCUCUCUUCAGCGUUCUACUUGCAUGUAUUAGGCACGCCGCCAGCGUUCGUCCUGAGCCAUAAUCAAACUCUAAUCACUAGUGAAUUC